rnacentral:rRNA from 1 species
AACGAACGCUGGCGGCAUGCCUAACACAUGCAAGUCGAACGAGACCUUCGGGUCUAGUGGCGCACGGGUGCGUAACGCGUGGGAACCUGCCCUUAGGUUCGGAAUAACUCCCCGAAAGGGGUGCUAAUACCGGAUAAUGUCUUCGGACCAAAGAUUUAUCGCCUUUGGAUGGGCCCGCGUUGGAUUAGCUAGUCGGUAGGGUAAAAGCCUACCAAGGCGACGAUCCAUAGCUGGUCUGAGAGGAUGAUCAGCCACACUGGGACUGAGACACGGCCCAGACUCCUACGGGAGGCAGCAGUGGGGAAUAUUGGACAAGGGGCGAAAGCCUGAUCCAGCAAUGCCGCGUGAGUGAUGAAGGCCUUAGGGUUGUAAAGCUCUUUUACCCGGGAUGAUAAUGACAGUACCGGGAGAAUAAGCGCCGGCUAACUCCGUG